CGGGUGAGUAAUACAUCGGAACGUGUCUUCUAGUGGGGGAUAACUGCCCGAAAGGGCAGCUAAUACCGCAUGAGGCCUGAGGGUGAAAGCGGGGGAUCGCAAGACCUCGCGCUGGAAGAGCGGCCGAUGUCCGAUUAGCUAGUUGGUGGGGUAAAGGCUCACCAAGGCGACGAUCGGUAGCUGGUCUGAGAGGACGACCAGCCACACUGGGACUGAGACACGGCCCAG
rnacentral:rRNA from 1 species